rnacentral:lncRNA from 1 species
GGGGGUGUGGGCGGGGCACAGAGAAGAGGUGGUCUCUAGGAAGCCUGACUCGUCUGUGGAGGCUGGCUGAUCCCUUAGAAGCUGCACACAAGGGGAGUCUGCUUCCCCUGAGGUCCAGUGGUGGCUGGAAGAGCCAUUUCAUAGGCAUUUGGGCAACUGACAUUGGGUGGCUAACUUUUUAUUUUGCAAAGUAAGAACAUCUGAAAAGUAAUCAAUUUCCCAGAAUACUGUUCAGGUUUAAAACGGAAGGAAGCCCCGGUAUGCCACGACAUGGAGGAAACUUGAAGACACUGCGCUCAGUGCAGCAAGUCAGUCAUGGAAGGACAAGCAAGGCAAGCAAGUGAUUUCACUUACACGAGGCCCCAGGAGCAUGCAGAUUCAUAGUGACAGAAAGUUGGAUGGUGGGGUCCAGGGCUGGGGGAGCCGAGCGGGAGCUGGUGUUUAAUGGGGACAAAGUGACUGUUUUACAAAGUGAAGCGUUAAUCGGGUUGGAUGGUGGUCGUCACUGCACAACAACGUGAACGCACUUAAUACCACUGACCUGGAGGCUUAAACGUGGUUAAGAUGGUACAUUCUGUGUUAUUUGACCAGGAUUGAUUUUUUUCAAAGGGCUUCCCUGGUGGCUCAGACAGUACAGAGCCUGCCUGCAAUGCAGGAGACCCGGAUUCCACCCCUGGGUCUGGAAAAUCCCCUGGAGAAGGGAAUGGCUGCCCACUCCAGUAUCCUUGCUUGGAGCAUCUGGCCAUUCUCCUCACAAGCUCCAUCUCCCUCCAGCACUCUGCGGGUUGGGUGACGUAUGUCAGGGCCAAGAGGCCGGUGGAUGCUGUCUUUCCAGGUCUGGCUCCAGAGCAGCGAGGGAAGGAGGAGGGUGGGGAGCCCAGCAGGUGGGCGAGUCUGGGCCAGUCAGGAGAGAGCCCAGUGGGCGCAGUGGAGGAAGCCGAAUGGGCAGCCACAGGUACGAGGACACCAGGGGAGCUGAGGGUGCAGAGGGACAUGGCGAGGCCCCGGAGGGCAGCAGACAAGGAGACACCACCUGCAGGCCAGGUGGACCGGGGAGGCCCAGGUCACCGUGGACAGGCCGGUGCUCGUGGCUCCUCCUGUCCCGACCGUCGGUGUCAGCCACACGUGCACGCGUGCUCAGUCGCUCAGUGGGGCCCAACUCCGAGACCCCAUGGACUGCAGGCUCUGCCGGUCAGUCAGACAGCGGCUGCCUGGGAUGGGGCGCAUUGGCUGGACGGGCACUGGGGGGCUUUUCUAGAAUGACAGAAACACCCUACGCUCCCUGGAGUGGCAGCUACACAGGCUGUGCGGUUGCCAAGCCCCAUGAAGCCGGGCGCAGAAGAUCUGCAUAGAAGUCACACAAAGGCUACAGGUUCCCCACCGAAGUAACACGUGCUCAGCACAAACUGCGAAACAAGCUGGAGAUGGGUAAAGGAAGAGUUAAAAAUCCUCCCCACCAGAGCUCCUCUGGCCCUCCUUGACUCUGACCCUGACCACCCCAGACCUUGAGCCACAGGAGUCACCANNNNNNNNNNNNNNNNNNNNNNNNNNNNNNNNNNNNNNNNNNNNNNNNNNNNNNNNNNNNNNNNNNNNNNNNNNNNNNNNNNNNNNNNNNNNNNNNNNNCUUGACUCUGACCCUGACCACCCCAGACCUUGAGCCACAGGAGUCACCAGCUCUGGUCCCUCUUCCUGGAGUCCAGGGUAGACCUCAGCGUGGCCCGCCCCUGCCCCUUCCAGCAGGACGCGUGUGCGCAGCGCCCCGACACCAGAUAUCCUGUGCGGUAGGACACGCCCCUGAGGUGCAGCUUUUGCUUCUGCAAAACACGGUGGAUACACCCAGGGCCGGAGGUGUUUCUCCGACACCCCCCCCCACCCCCCCCAGAGAACCAGGAGGACAGUGGGCACCUGUCAGGACGAACUGCAGAGCCGAUCACGAGCCAGCAGGGGGCGCAGAGGAUCAGGCUUCGCAAGUGCACACGCUUAUCCUUUGGAUUCUGAACUUUGCAAACCUAUAAUCUCCAAAACCUUAAUUAAAGGGGAAGAGGGCACACGGAACACCGGGGCUCCGCCGUGCGCCACCCACCCCACACCGGCGCUCCUCCCCCAGCCCCGAAAACCCAGCCUGGAGUCACACUUGGGGCUGAGACUCACGCAGGACUUGGCCCAGCUGCUCCGUGCUCAUCUGAAUGCGGGAGAGUCCUGCGGCCCUGGCCGGUCCUCCGCGGCCGCCCUUCCAGAGGGGCCGAGGACAGCCUGCUUGUCCUGCUGCAAAAACAAUGGGGCCGGGAACGUGGGGCGGCUGGGGGAGGGGCCCAGCCGGCACCCCCCAAAACCGCCUGCCACAGGCUGCCCCCGGAGCCCAGGGCUCCUCCAAGGGCUGCCUGCUCUGGGCCUGAGGGACUGGGGGCUGCCCACUCCUCCAGGCACUGCGACGACCCCUCACGCACACCGGAGCCCCCGCCCCCGCCCCCUGCUCCCGCC